CAAAACGGGUUUCAUAAAUGUAAUUGGGUCGUACAAACACACUAAAAACGAGCUAACGGGCCUUGGGCCCAACCCACUUAAACCCUACAUAUUUAAACCACUCUUUAUCUCUUCUCCUUCAUUUUUUUCCCUAACCCUAGCCCCCAUCUCAUCUUUUCCUCUGCCAAAAGAUUUAUCACACACACAAAACCAUACAUUUCCUUCUCUACUCUCACUUUGCUCUCUCUAAAUAACUAGCCGGCCACCACUGACGAUGGCGGCGAACCACGGUGGCGGCAGAGCCACGACAAGCCGGAAGUCCAAGGAAGACCACCACCACCACAGGCGGCGGCGCUGUGGUGGGUGGUUUCGGGAUCGAGCAGGAGAGAAAGAGAGACCUAGAGAGAGAAACAGUGGCGGAGGUGGUGGUGGUCUUGUGUCGUGACUACAACGAUCGGCGGCAAAGUGGAUCUUCCGGCAGCCGUGUUUAAGGUUCAACAGUUCGGGUAUUUGCUUCGGGUCGACUGUGAUUUUGGUUCGGGGUGGAGCCGACGGCAACGGUGGAUACGGAACUCCGGCUCGCGGUCAGUAGCAGUGACGGCAUACAUCUCCUAAAGUCACCCGCUAAUGUGUUGGACUUGCAAUCCAAAGUGGAAAAGUUAGAUAAAUGAUUCGAAGAGGCGCAAGAACCCCACACGGAAGUGUUGCAAAACCGAGUCGAAGAUAUGUAACACAAAUGAGAGAAGAUAUGCAACGACAAAUAACCGAGUUGAUGAAGCAGUUUGGUAAUCCUAGCAAUCCUCCACCAUAGUUUAGUUUUGUUUGUUGUCUUUUGCGGUUGAAGUUGUAAUUUAAAAACCGUGGCAUAUUUGGUUGUUGUAAUUUAAUCGUGUCGUAUUUAGGAUUUUUAUUGGAUUUUUUUCUGCAUUUUUAGUAGAAAAA